UAGGCGACCGGGUGAGUAACACGUGACCAAUCUACCCCUUUGAUGGGGGAUAACCUCGGGAAACCGGGGCUAAUACCGCAUAACAUCCUCGGAUCGGAAGAACUGGGGAUCAAAGGAGCAAUUCGCUUAAGGAGGAGGUCGCGGCUGAUUAGCUAGUUGGCGGGGUAAUGGCCCACCAAGGCAAAGAUCGGUAGCCGGCCUGAGAGGGCGCACGGCCACACUGGAACUGAAACACGGUCCAG
rnacentral:rRNA from 1 species